GACGAACGCUGGCGGCGCGCUUAACACAUGCAAGUCGAACGGAAAGGCCUGCUUUCCCUUGUGGAUUGCGGGUACUCGAGUGGCGAACGGGUGAGUAACACGUGAGUGAUCUGCCCCCAACUUGGGUAUAAGCCUGGGAAACUGGGUCUAAUUCCCGAUAGGACUGCAGGGUGGUGCCUGUGGUGGAAAACGAUUUUCUAGUGGUUGGGGAUGAGCUCGCGGCCUAUCAGCUUGUUGGUGGGGUAAUGGCCUACCAAGGCGGCGACGGGUAGCCGGCCUGAGAGGGUGGACGGCCACAUUGGGACUGAGAUACGGCCCAGACUCCUACGGGAGGCAGCAGUGGGGAAUAUUGCACAAUGGGCGGAAGCCUGAUGCAGCGACGCCGCGUGGGGGAUGACGGCUUUCGGGUUGUAAACUCCUUUCGACCGCGAGGAAGCCACCUGGUUGGAAGGGUGGUGACGGUAGUGGUAGAAGAAGCACCGGCUAACUACGUG
rnacentral:rRNA from 1 species